UUUAUGGAGAGUUUGAUCCUGGCUCAGGAUGAACGCUGGCGGCGUGCCUAAUACAUGCAAGUCGAGCGAACGGACGAGAAGCUUGCUUCUCUGAUGUUAGCGGCGGACGGGUGAGUAACACGUGGAUAACCUACCUAUAAGACUGGGAUAACUUCGGGAAACCGGAGCUAAUACCGGAUAAUAUUUUGAACCGCAUGGUUCAAAAGUGAAAGACGGUCUUGCUGUC
rnacentral:rRNA from 1 species